rnacentral:snoRNA from 1 species
AAGAUCAUACUUGUACAGGAUCACUUCUAUAGUGAUUUCUCCUGUCUAAUCAUACCCAAAUAUGACAGAUCUACCAACCUGGACGAUGACCGGAAAGGUGCCAUCGCUUAGCGUGAGACUGGGACCCAGAGUUCUUACUUUGGGCUUCCACGAUGACCGUACCGCUUGCUAUCAUUCCAGCUUGCGGUUGCGAUGGCACCAGUCUGACAGGU